rnacentral:rRNA from 1 species
GACGAACGCUGGCGGCGCGCCUAACACAUGCAAGUCGAACGAGCGAGAGAGAGCUUGCUUUCUCGAGCGAGUGGCGAACGGGUGAGUAACGCGUGAGGAACCUGCCUCAAAGAGGGGGACAACAGUUGGAAAUGACUGCUAAUACCGCAUAAGCCCACGACCCGGCAUCGGGUAGAGGGAAAAGGAGCAAUCCGCUUUGAGAUGGCCUCGCGUCCGAUUAGCUAGUUGGUGAGGUAACGGCCCACCAAGGCGACGAUCGGUAGCCGGACUGAGAGGUUGAACGGCCACAUUGGGACUGAGACACGGCCCAGACUCCUACGGGAGGCAGCAGUGGGGAAUAUUGCACAAUGGGGGAAACCCUGAUGCAGCGACGCCGCGUGGAGGAAGAAGGUCUUCGGAUUGUAAACUCCUGUUGUUGAGGAAGAUAAUGACGGUACUCAACAAGGAAGUGACGGCUAACUACGUG